ACGCACGCUGGCGGCAGGCUUAACCCAUGCAAGUCGAACGCCCCGCAAGGGGAGUGGCAGCCGGGUGAGUAACGCGUGGGAACAUACCCUUUUCUACGGAAUAGCUCUGGGAAACUGGAAUUAAUACCGUAUACGCCCUACGGGGGAAAGAUUUAUCGGGGAAGGAUUGGCCCGCGUUGGAUUAGCUAGUUGGUGGGGUAAAGGCCUACCAAGGCGACGAUCCAUAGCUGGUCUGAGAGGAUGAUCAGCCACAUUGGGACUGAGACACGGCCCAAACUCCUACGGGAGGCAGCAGUGGGGAAUAUUGGACAAUGGGCGCAAGCCUGAUCCAGCCAUGCCGCGUGAGUGAUGAAGGCCUUAGGGUUGUAAAGCUCUUUCACCGAUGAAGAUAAUGACGGUAGUCGGAGAAGAAGCCCCGGCUAACUUCGUG
rnacentral:rRNA from 1 species